rnacentral:rRNA from 1 species
GAUGAACGCUGGCGGCGUGCCUAAUACAUGCAAGUCGAGCGAACGGACGAGAAGCUUGCUUCUCUGAUGUUAGCGGCGGACGGGUGAGUAACACGUGGAUAACCUACCUAUAAGACUGGGAUAACUUCGGGAAACCGGAGCUAAUACCGGAUAAUAUUUUGAACCGCAUGGUUCAAAAGUGAAAGACGGUCUUGCUGUCACUUAUAGAUGGAUCCGCGCUGCAUUAGCUAGUUGGUAAGGUAACGGCUUACCAAGGCAACGAUGCAUAGCCGACCUGAGAGGGUGAUCGGCCACACUGGAACUGAGACACGGUCCAGACUCCUACGGGAGGCAGCAGUAGGGAAUCUUCCGCAAUGGGCGAAAGCCUGACGGAGCAACGCCGCGUGAGUGAUGAAGGUCUUCGGAUCGUAAAACUCUGUUAUUAGGGAAGAACAUAUGUGUAAGUAACUGUGCACAUCUUGACGGUACCUAAUCAGAAAGCCACGGCUAACUACGUGCCAGCAGCCGCGGUAAUACGUAGGUGGCAAGCGUUAUCCGGAAUUAUGGGCGUAAAGCGCGCGUAGGCGGUUUUUUAGUCUGAUGUGAAAGCCCACGGCUCAACCGUGGAGGGUCAUUGGAAACUGGAAAACUUGAGUGCAGAAGAGGAAAGUGGAAUUCCAUGUGUAGCGGUGAAAUGCGCAGAGAUAUGGAGGAACACCAGUGGCGAAGGCGACUUUCUGGUCUGUAACUGACGCUGAUGUGCGAAAGCGUGGGGAUCAAACAGGAUUAGAUACCCUGGUAGUCCACGCCGUAAACGAUGAGUGCUAAGUGUUAGGGGGUUUCCGCCCCUUAGUGCUGCAGCUAACGCAUUAAGCACUCCGCCUGGGGAGUACGACCGCAAGGUUGAAACUCAAAGGAAUUGACGGGGACCCGCACAAGCGGUGGAGCAUGUGGUUUAAUUCGAAGCAACGCGAAGAACCUUACCAAAUCUUGACAUCCUUUGACAACUCUAGAGAUAGAGCUUUCCCCUUCGGGGGACAAAGUGACAGGUGGUGCAUGGUUGUCGUCAGCUCGUGUCGUGAGAUGUUGGGUUAAGUCCCGCAACGAGCGCAACCCUUAAGCUUAGUUGCCAUCAUUAAGUUGGGCACUCUAAGUUGACUGCCGGUGACAAACCGGAGGAAGGUGGGGAUGACGUCAAAUCAUCAUGCCCCUUAUGAUUUGGGCUACACACGUGCUACAAUGGACAAUACAAAGGGCAGCGAAACCGCGAGGUCAAGCAAAUCCCAUAAAGUUGUUCUCAGUUCGGAUUGUAGUCUGCAACUCGACUACAUGAAGCUGGAAUCGCUAGUAAUCGUAGAUCAGCAUGCUACGGUGAAUACGUUCCCGGGUCU